rnacentral:rRNA from 1 species
CCAGACUCCUACGGGAGGCAGCAGUGAGGAAUAUUGGUCAAUGGGCGAGAGCCUGAACCAGCCAAGUCGCGUGAGGGAGUACUGCCCUAUGGGUUGUAAACCUCUUUUGUCGGGGAGCAAAAGCCGGACGUGUCCGCCUGUGAGAGUACCCGAAGAAAAAGCAUCGGCUAACUCCGUGCCGGCAGCCGCGGUAAUACGGAGGAUGCGAGCGUUAUCCGGAUUUAUUGGGUUUAAAGGGUGCGCAGGCGGAAGAUCAAGUCAGCGGUCAAAUCGUGGGGCUCAACCCCAUCCAGCCGUUGAAACUGGUUUUCUUGAGUGAGUGAGAAGUAUGCGGAAUGCGUGGUGUAGCGGUGAAAUGCAUAGAUAUCGCGCAGAACUCCGAUUGCGAAGGCAGCAUGCCGGCUCCACACUGACGCUGAGGCACGAAAGCGUGGGUAUCGAACAGGAUUAGAUACCCUAGUAUU